UACGGAGGGGGGCUAGCGUUGUUCGGAAUUACUGGGCGUAAAGCGCACGUAGGCGGCUUUGUAAGUUAGAGGUGAAAGCCCGGGGCUCAACUCCGGAAUUGCCUUUAAGACUGCAUCGCUAGAAUUGUGGAGAGGUAAGUGGAAUUCCGAGUGUAGAGGUGAAAUUCGUAGAUAUUCGGAAGAACACCAGUGGCGAAGGCGACUUACUGGACACAUAUUGACGCUGAGGUGCGAAAAGCGUGGGGAGCAAACAGG
rnacentral:rRNA from 1 species